rnacentral:rRNA from 1 species
AUUGAACGCUGGCGGCAGGCCUAACACAUGCAAGUCGAGCGAGCGGCGGACGGGUGAGUAAUGUCUGGGAAACUGCCUGAUGGAGGGGGAUAAAUACUGGAAACGGUAGCUAAUACCGCAUACCAUCUUAUGUGCCCAGAUGGGAUUAGCUAGUAGGUGUGGUAACGGCUCACCUGGGCGACGAGCCCUAGCUGGUCUGAGAGGAUGACCAGCCACACUGGAACUGAGACACGGUCCAGAGUCCUACGGGAGGCAGCAGUGGGGAAUAUUGCACAAUGGGGGCAAGCCUGAUGCAGCCAUGCCGCGUGUGUGAAGAAGGCCUUCGGGUUGUAAAGCACUUUCGGCGGGGAGGCGUUACCCGCAGAAGAAGCACCGGCUAACUCCGUGCCAGCAGCCGCGGUAAUAC